CCGUUUGAGGGGGGGUCGACAUCCUUCUGAGAAACAAACGACUCUCGGCAACGGAUAUCCCGGCUCUCGCAUCGAUGAAGAACGUAGCGAAAUGCGAUACUUGGUGUGAAUUGCAGAAUCCCGUGAACCAUCGAGUUUUUGAACGCAAGUUGCGCCCGAUGCCA
rnacentral:rRNA from 1 species